UUUCUAGGGAGACUGAGAGCUUCGGCUCUCCACUCCUAGGUCGGUCUCCGGCGCAAGCCGGGGUUUUGAUUGGCCUAAUUUUCCUUCCGCUAUCCAGAGGUUAAGGUGAAACUGUUUUCAGGGGAUUAUCACGGCGGCGGUACGCGAACAGCGUCCGCCGCUUGAUUUUAACGUAGCCCCUGGGCUAGAAUUAACUUCACCUUUUCACCCCGGGCCAUUAGCUCAGUUGGUUAGAGCGCGGUCCUGAUAGGACCGAGGUCCUUGGUUCGAGACCAAGAUGGCCCACCACCUUUUCUGAACGUAAACUCACCAUUUCAUCCACCUUUCCUUUAUAUAAGACUGAGGUCUCCAAUGGCCUAUUUUUGAUCAUUGGAGUGCUC
rnacentral:tRNA from 1 species